rnacentral:rRNA from 1 species
CAAUAGCGUAUAUUAAAGUUGUUGCAGUUAAAAAGCUCGUAGUUGAAGAUCUGGGUGAAGGCCGUGUCAUUGACACUAGGCCGGACCCCUAUUCACGAGGAAGCCUUAGUGCAUUAACUUGUGCUUUGGUCGAUUCGUGUCGUUUACUGUGAACAAAUUAGGGUGUUUAAAGCAGACCUCUGUUUGUAUACAUUAGCAUGGAAUAAUUAGAUAUGACUUCAGUUAUAUUUUGUUGGUGAUAACUAAAGUAAUGAUUGAUAGGAACAGUCGUGGGUAUUCGUAUGAGCAUGUCAGAGGUGAAAUUCUUGGAUUUUGAUCAGACGAACUACUGCGAAAGCAUUUACCAAGGAUGUUUUCAUUAA